rnacentral:rRNA from 1 species
UACGUAGGGUGCAAGCGUUAUUCGGAAUUACUGGGCGUAAAGCGUACGCAGGCGGCUAUGUAAGUCAGGUGUGAAAUCCCCGGGCUUAACCUGGGAACUGCAUUUGUGACUGCAUAGCUAGAGUCUGGCAGAGGGGGGUGGAAUUCCACGUGUAGCAGUGAAAUGCGUAGAGAUGUGGAGGAACACCGAUGGCGAAGGCAGCCCCCUGGGAUAAGACUGACGCUCAUGUACGAAAGCGUGGGGAGCAAACAGG